AUGGCCUCUGCCCCUUUUGGCCGAACGACGUUGCCGCCGGCGUGCUCUGCCAGGAUCCGGUGGAUCUCGGCUUGCCCUGCGGCUCUGCCGCCCCGCCAUGUUCCCGGAGCCGCGGUGCCCUGCAUCGCGCCAAGUCCCGCGGCCGUCGCCCCUGCAUCGCGUCAAGUCCCUGCAUCGCGCCCCGUUGCUGUUGACGCCAAGUCCAAGGACCACCGAGCAUGGGAUUCGCCAAGUACCACUACCAAUGCCUUUGGAUUCGCCAAGUACACCACCGGCAAGACCACACGGAUGCUCGAACGAGUGCCGAACGAAACGCCAAGUCCCUCUUCUGGAUCUGUGUACGACCUUUGUAACGAUGUGCCAAGUACCUCUACGGGCGCACUGAAUGUCUACGAACCAUGCACGACUACAACGCGAACGGGUACCCGAUUGCCCCGAAGAACUCAGAUUCGUCAAGUCCCUCUCCAAGACGUGUACCACUACUUCCACUAUCGUCACCGUGUACCACUACUUCCACUACCAUCGCGAGAACGACUACUUCUACUAUGA
rnacentral:rRNA from 1 species